AGCGAACGCUGGCGGCAGGCCUAACACAUGCAAGUCGAGCGGCCGUAGCAAUACGGCAGCGGCAGACGGGAGAGUAACACGUGGGAACGCGCCCUUCGGUUCGGGAUAACUUAGGGAAACUUGGGCUAAUACCGGAUACGCCCUUACGGGGAAAGAUUUAUUGCCGAAGGAACGGCCCGCGUCCGAUUAGCUUGUUGGUGAGGUAACGGCUCACCAAGGCGACGAGCGGUAGCUGGUCUGAGAGGAUGACCAGCCUGACUGGGACUGAGACACGGCCCAGACUCCUACGGGAGGCAGCAGUGGGGAAUAUUGGACAAUGGGCGCAAGCCUGAUCCAGCCAUGCCGCGUGGGUGAUGAAGGCCCUGGGGUUGUAAAGCCCUUUCAGCGGGGAAGAUAAUGACGGUACCCGCAGAAGAAGCCCCGGCUAACUUCGUGCCAGCCGCCGCAGUAAGAC
rnacentral:rRNA from 1 species